rnacentral:rRNA from 1 species
GAUGAACGCUGGCGGCGUGCCUAAUACAUGCAAGUCGAGCGAACAGAUAAGGAGCUUGCUCCUUUGACGUUAGCGGCGGACGGGUGAGUAACACGUGGGUAACCUACCUAUAAGACUGGGAUAACUUCGGGAAACCGGAGCUAAUACCGGAUAAUAUUUCGAACCGCAUGGUUCGAUAGUGAAAGAUGGUUUUGCUAUCACUUAUAGAUGGACCCGCGCCGUAUUAGCUAGUUGGUAAGGUAACGGCUUACCAAGGCGACGAUACGUAGCCGACCUGAGAGGGUGAUCGGCCACACUGGAACUGAGACACGGUCCAGACUCCUACGGGAGGCAGCAGUAGGGAAUCUUCCGCAAUGGGCGAAAGCCUGACGGAGCAACGCCGCGUGAGCGAUGAAGGUCUUCGGAUCGUAAAACUCUGUUAUUAGGGAAGAACAUACGUGUAAGUAACUGUGCACGUCUUGACGGUACCUAAUCAGAAAGCCACGGCUAACUACGUG